CCUACGGGCGGCAGCAGUGGGGAAUAUUGCACAAUGGGCGCAAGCCUGAUGCAGCCAUGCCGCGUGUGUGAAGAAGGCCUUCGGGUUGUAAAGCACUUUCAGCGGGGAGGAAGGCGUUAAGGUUAAUAACCUUGGCGAUUGACGUUACCCGCAGAAGAAGCACCGGCUAAAUCCGUGCCAGCAGCCGCGGUAAUACGGAGGGUGCAAGCGUUAAUCGGAAUUACUGGGCGUAAAGCGCACGCAGGCGGUCUGUCAAGUCGGAUGUGAAAUCCCCGGGCUCAACCUGGGAACUGCAUUCGAAACUGGCAGGCUAGAGUCUUGUAGAGGGGGGUAGAAUUCCAGGUGUAGCGGUGAAAUGCGUAGAGAUCUGGAGGAAUACCGGUGGCGAAGGCGGCCCCCUGGACAAAGACUGACGCUCAGGUGCGAAAGCGUGGGGAGCAAACAGGAUUAGAUACCCGUGUAGUC
rnacentral:rRNA from 1 species